UACGGAGGAUCCAAGCGUUGUCCGGAUUUAUUGGGUUUAAAGGGUGCGUAGGCGGUUUAUUAAGUCAGUGGUGAAAGUUUGCGGCUCAACCGUAAAAUUGCCAUUGAAACUGAUAGACUUGAGUUUGGUUGAGGUUGCCGGAAUGUGUCAUGUAGCGGUGAAAUGCUUAGAUAUGAUACAGAACACCGAUUGCGAAGGCAGGUGACUAAACCAAUACUGACGCUGAGGCACGAAAGCGUGGGGAUCAAACAGG
rnacentral:rRNA from 1 species